UUGGAGGGCAAGUCUGGUGCCAGCAGCCGCGGUAAUUCCAGCUCCAAUAGCGUAUAUUAAAGUUGUUGCAGUUAAAAAGCUCGUAGUUGAAUUUCGGGAUCAAGGAAUCGGUCAUGCCUUGGUAUGUACUGGUUUUAUUGGUUCUCACCUUCUAAAGAACCAUAAUGUCAUUUAUUUGAUGUUAUGGGGAAUCAGGACUGUUACUUUGAAAAAAUUAGAGUGUUUAAAGCAGGCUCACGCUUGAAUACAUUAGCAUGGAAUAAUGAAAUAGGACGUUUGAUCCUAUUUUGUUGGUUUCUAGGAUUGACGUAAUGAUUAAUAGGGAUAGUUGGGGCAUUAGUAUUCAAUUGUCAGAGGUGAAAUUCUUGGAUUUAUUGAAGACUAACUACUGCGAAAGCAUUUGCCAAGGAUGUUUUCAUUAAUCAAGAACGAAAGUUAGGGGAUCGAAGACGAUCAGAUACCGUCGUAGUCUUAACCAUAAACUAUGCCGACUAGGGAUCGGACGAUGUUAAUUUUUAAUG
rnacentral:rRNA from 1 species